GACAGAGGGUGCAAACGUUGUUCGGAUUCACUGGGCGUAAAGGGCACGUAGGCGGCUCGGCAAAUCGGUCGUGGAAUCCCGACGCUUACCGUCGGAACGGCGGCCGAAAAUACCGGGCUCGAGGGCGUGAGGGGUCACUGGAACUCCUGGUGAAGCGGUGAAAUGCGUAGAUAUCAGGAGGAACGCCGGAGGCGAAAGCGAGUGACUGGCGCGUUCCUGACGCUGAGGAGCGAAAGCAUGGGGAGCGAACAGG
rnacentral:rRNA from 1 species